rnacentral:rRNA from 1 species
CUGCCCACUGUGAGAACCGGGCCGCAGUAAUUUGACUGUGCAAGGUAGCAUAAUAAUUAGUUUUUUAAUUGAAAGCUUGUAUGAAUGAUUGGACGACAAUAAGACUGUCUUGAUUUUAUAAAAUUAGAAUUUAAUAUUUAAGUAAAAAAGCUUAAAUAUUAAUUAAAGACGAGAAGACCCUAUACAUUUUUAUAUUAAAAUUUUAUUUAAAUUAUUAGAAUUAAUUUUUUAAUUAAAAUUAGAUAUUUAAUUGGGGUGAUUAAAAAAUUAAUUUAACUUUUUUAUAAUUUAUACAAAUUUAUUUGAAUAUAUGAUCCUUAUAUGAAGAUUAUUAGAUUAAAUUACCUUAGGGAUAACAGCGUAAUUUUUUUGGAUAGUUCAUAUAGAUAAAAAAGAUUGCGACCUCGAUGUUGGAUUAAGAUUUAUUUUUGGUGUAGAAGUUAAAAAUUUAAGUCUGUUCGACUUUUUAAAUCUUACAUGAUC